rnacentral:lncRNA from 1 species
GAGCUCCUCUUUGGCUAGAGUUGAGUCUAGCUCCUCACGUGAACUUCACAGCUGGCCGGAGCAUAGUGAGAGAGCGCUUCCUUCUCCCUGUAAGAAGCAGGUGGAAUCAUGCAGUGCUCUUGGUUAGUAUGAACUUGGUUAGUGCUUUUGUCCCUCCUCAGAUAUACCUUCGUUACACUGCCACAUGCUUUCCCGAGCACAAAGAUGCCCGAGGUCUUCAAUUACGCGCUCACAGGGCUGAUCUGCAGAAUAUAGCAGUGCCAACCCUGGGCUUCCAACCACAAGAAACGCAUCUCCUGGCACUGUGGAUCUAUCUAUGUGAUACCAUGACCAGCUGAAUGUAGGCCUGUAUGUGCAGCCGUGCUCACACAGAUAUCCGCCUGCUCCCACCACAACAAAAGAAGAAACCAUUCUUAUGAUUGCGUUGGAAAGAAAUUCUUACGAUUGCUUUGGAGGCAAGACCAAGAGAUGUGUCCCACUAAUUCUACCCUGUGGGUGAUCAAAAAUCCUGCUUUAUUUUCUGAAAUUUCACUAGAGGACUCUCACUGUCUAUUCAGACUAGCCUCCACAGGCAGCCUAAAGACUUGAAAACUAAGCGUUCACGAUUGGAAAGGAAUCUCAAAACCUGUCAAAUGCUGUGCCAGAUGUGGAAUCCCACAUUGCUGCGGCAAGCCUGUUCAGACAGGAAUACUCAAAGCCUUAACUUUUUUCAGAAACAAAGCAAGUUUGAAGCCCAUGUGUUGAUGAACCCGCCUGAGGUCAGAGUUCCGCUUGUGAUGCACAAAGACUGUACCUGUUUGAGUGGCCUCUUCAGCGUAACAAACAUCUCAGCACAUGGAAAUGUAGCAUUAGCCUGCAAAUGCAGUCGCUUUCUCCAUGCCACUCCAGACAGCUUAUUGAACAGGUGGCUAUAGGCGGUUCCCAGGUGGUCUCCCCUCUGAGCUCAGGCCAGCUCCAGACCUGCUGAGCUUCAACACGGUGGAUGCCUUAUGUGCCUUCAGACCAUACUCUGGGCUGUCCCAAGGCUAUCUGAAGGCUCAGACAGCUGAACACAAGGGCCAUUCCCUGGACAGCAGCCCCUGUUAAGCCCUCGUCUCAGACCUUUUUCUGAGCCUCUUCUCACUUGUGAGUGACUCGCCUGCUUUUGGAUCCUCUGGUCCUUGCUUUGCUGCAGAGCAGUGCUGGGGAACAUACAACCCUCUAGUUGUUGUUGGACUACAAUUACCAUCAUCCCAACAGCUGCAGUGGAUUGGAGCUGCAAUCCAACAACAUCCGCAGGGUCACCCAGCCCACAUCUUUGCUCUGGGGCAGUUUGAAAACAGAACAUCCGGGGAACACAUAAACAAGAGACAUGUCUGUGUAUUAUAGCUGCAUUAGAACUACUUUCCCAUUACUCUUUCGAUCUGGUAGGGCAUGCAUUUAAACACGUCUGUUGGGCUCAUCCUUUAGUUUUCUGAAAUUGCCAUACUUGCUUUGACAGUUAUCCAUGAAAGCUAAAUAUCAAAGCAACUUGCCAGGAAGGCUGCAGCUACCACUGUGUGCUCACUGCUAGCAGAGGACAAGCUCCUUCCAAAAUCUUUUCAGGCACGCCUGCUCCUAUCUCCCAUCAGCCAGCACCUUCUCCACACCAUGCUGGGCUCAGAUAAGUGACGGCCAUAUUUUCCAAAGGGUUGCUUGCCUGGUGACAUGCUGUUCUUCGCAGCCCCAUUGAAGGGCUUGAUAUGACAUGCAGUGGGUGACAGGCAAGAGGGCGUUGGUGGGGGGGCAGGAAUAGCUGGGCAACAGCUUCUCAAGUGCAGAAUUGGUGCUAAUCCUCUUGUUCCAGUCACGUGAGCUUGCAAGGAGCUGGAAGGCCAUUUCCCUCAUGCAGGGAAUGCAAGCAGCAUUUUGAAUAUAGAGAAAUAGUCAGUUCCAUUGUUUCUUUGGUGUUUGGGCUAAGCUCGAGAGAGGUCAGUUCCACUCGAGCGUGGUGCAAACCAUCUCCCUCUCAUCUCUAACUGUAUUUCUUGCUGCAAAUGUUGCAGCUAUGGCCGUAUAUCAGCACUGAAGACUUACAGUGGUUGGUUUCCUCCCUCUCCAGCAGGGAGCCCUGGGAAGUGUGGUUCCCUGAGGGGGGCAUGGGGAACUCUCUGCAUGCUCAGCACCCUCUUCACAUUGCAGUUCCCAGGAUUCUUGGUGUGACACCACAACAGUUGAACUCUUACAAAAACAAUGCAUUUCUCAGUGAAGACUACAUCUGUCUCCGGGCUAUAUUUAUUUAUUAAAAAAAAGAUUUAUUAAAACAUUUUUAUGCUGCCCCAUUCGCCAAAGUCUCGGGGCGGCUUACAACAAUAAAUUAGAACCACAUAAAUAAAAAUUAAAAUAUAUACAUUAGAAUAAUAAUAAUAAUAAUUUAAAAUAAUAUAUACAAACACACACAAACAAUAUAAAAUAAGCCACCCUGGCCAGAUAAAAUUCAAUAGUAUUAACAUUUAAAAUGCUGCUUAAAUAAAAAGGUCUUCGCCUGGCACCGAAAAACAAAUAGCGACGGCGCCAGGCGGACCUCUCUGGGGAGCGCAUUCCACAGAUGGGGCACCACCGCAGAGAAGGCCCUCCUCCGAGUAGCCACCCUGCUGAUUUCUUUCAUGGAGGGCUCCCGGAGAAGGGCCUCUCCCGCCGAUCUCAGGGGGUGGCUGGGCAUAUAUGGUCAUGGUCAUGGCUCAAAGACUACCUUUACACAUUGGUAGAUCUCACCAGGCGCCAAGCUUCAAGUUAUUAGCAACACAGGCAACAUUCUUACAGAUGGUAGGAUUGUGAGGAUUGAAAUGGCAGGACCCCCCUUCCCUUUUUGUGACCCGUCUUAAGUAUAGGGACACCUUUGUGUCCCCUUAAUGUACCGCACCUCCAUGAGGAGGACAGUGGCAGGGUGAUCAGUCAGAUCUCCAUGUGCUAGCAGUUCAAGGCCCUGGCUCUCCCACCUGGGGGUUCUUCAUCCUCACCCCCGUCUUGGAUUGGAUAUACCUUCAAACAGAGGGCCGUCCUCUGUAAAGUAGGACCCAUGGUUGCCCUAGUGUUCUCAGGGAGGAACUUGGCCCCAAAAAGGAAGUCAGUGAUAAAGUCUUGUUGCUUUUGCAACGAGGUGAGAAGCAAGGUGGGAUGUUGCUGCUUCUCCUUGCAUUUCAUCACAGAACCGAGAUUUCAGCCCUGCACAGAGAGCUUUGGGGGAGGGUUAGGAAUAGGGGCUGGGGCUGGGAAGGCUGUAAUGGAAGUGGAGUAUGUCUAAUCCAAAUACAUUGCUCAGUCAUGGAGCCAACUGGGUAACUUUGGGCAGUCAGGGAUUCUCAGUCCAACCUACCUCACAGGGCUGUUGUUGUAAGGAAAAGAUGGAGAAGAGCAGGACAAUUAUGGAAGCCACCAUGAGUUCU